UACGUAGGGGGCAAGCGUUGUCCGGAUUUAUUGGGCGUAAAGAGCUCGUAGGCGGCCACUCAAGUCGAAUGUGAAACCUCGAGGCUUAACCUCGAGCCUGCAUUCGAUACUGGGCGGCUAGAGUCUGGUAGGGGGAUCUGGAAUUCCUGGUGUAGCGGUGAAAUGCGCAGAUAUCAGGAGGAACACCGGUGGCGAAGGCGGGUCUCUGGGCCGAUACUGACGCUGAGGAGCGAAAGCGUGGGGAGCGAACAGG
rnacentral:rRNA from 1 species